rnacentral:rRNA from 1 species
ACACGUGGUAUCCUGUCUGAAUAUGGGGGGACCAUCCUCCAAGGCUAAAUACUCCUGACUGACCGAUAGUGAACCAGUACCGUGAGGGAAAGGCGAAAAGAACCCCGGCGAGGGGAGUGAAAAAGAACCUGAAACCGUGUACGUACAAGCAGUGGGAGCCCCACCACUAAGCCAGUGGUGAACUCCACAUCCGCAUCCUUUGCUGAGGAUACGGUUAACGGAGCGAAAGCGACGUUCAACCGCAAAACAAGCAGAGGGGGCUUAGUGGUGGGGUGACUGCGUACCUUUUGUAUAAUGGGUCAGCGACUUAUAUUCUGUAGCAAGGUUAACCGAAUAGGGGAGCCGGAGGGAAACCGAGUCUUAAUUGGGCGUUAAGUUGCAGGGUAUAGACCCGAAACCCGGUGAUCUAGCCAUGGGCAGGUUGAAGGUUGGGUAACACUAACUGGAGGACCGAACCGACUAAUGUUGAAAAAUUAGCGGAUGACCUGUGGCUGGGGGUGAAAGGCCAAUCAAACCGGGAGAUAGCUGGUUCUCCCCGAAAGCUAUUUAGGUAGCGCCUCGUGAAUUCAUCUCCGGGGGUAGAGCACUGUUUCGGCUAGGGGGCCAUCCCGGCUUACCAACCCGAUGCAAACUGCGAAUACCGGAGAAUGUUAUCACGGGAGACACACGGCGGGUGCUAACGUCCGUCGUGAAGAGGGAAACAACCCAGACCGCCAGCUAAGGUCCCAAAGUCAUGGUUAAGUGGGAAACGAUGUGGGAAGGCCCAGACAGCCAGGAUGUUGGCUUAGAAGCAGCCAUCAUUUAAAGAAAGCGUAAUAGCUCACUGGUCGAGUCGGCCUGCGCGGAAGAUGUAACGGGGCUAAACCAUGCACCGAAGCUGCGGCAGCGAACGUAUCACCCAAGACAACUUUACGGAGUUGACGAUUGACGGAGCGAAGCGACGUCAAAGCGUUCAUUAAAGUCGAGUUGGCUUAGGGAUACGUUCGUUGGGUAGGGGAGCGUUCUGUAAGCCUGUGAAGGUGUGUCGUGAGGCAUGCUGGAGGUAUCAGAAGUGCGAAUGCUGACAUAAGUAACGAUAAAGCGGGUGAAAAGCCCGCUCGCCGGAAGACCAAGGGUUCCUGUCCAACGUUAAUCGGGGCAGGGUGAGUCGACCCCUAAGGCGAGGCCGAAAGGCGUAGUCGAUGGGAAACGGGUUAAUAUUCCCGUACUUGGUGUUACUGCGAAGGGGGGACGGAGAAGGCUAUGUUGGCCGGGCGACGGUUGUCCCGGUUUAAGCGUGUAGGUGUGUGUUCCAGGUAAAUCCGGUUCACUUUAACACUGAGGCGUGACGACGAGGCACUACGGUGCUGAAGCAACAAAUGCCCUGCUUCCAGGAAAAGCCUCUAAGCAUCAGGUAACACGAAAUCGU